UAAUACCGGAUAGAUCAAAGAUACUGGAAUGUUCCUUGAUCCAAAGCUCCGGCGUCCAAGGAUGGAUCUGCGGCCUAUCAGGUAGUAGUGGGUGUAACGUACCUACUAGCCUACGACGGGUACGGGUUGUGAGAGCAAGAGCCCGGAGAUGGAUUCUGAGACAUGAAUCCAGGCCCUACGGGGCGCAGCAGGCGCGAAAUCUUUACAAUGCAGGAAACUGCGAUAAGGGGACCCCGAGUGCCAGCAUCUAAUGCUGGCUGUCCAGCUGUGUAAAUAGCAGUUGUUAGCAAGGGCCGGGCAAGACCGGUGCCAGCCGCCGCGGUAACACCGGCGGCCCGAGUGGUAACCGAUUUUAUUGGGUUUAAAGGGUCCGUAGCCGGCCUGUUAAGUCUCUUGGGAAAUCUGGCGGCUCAAUCGUCAGGCGUUC
rnacentral:rRNA from 1 species